UACGAAGGGGGCUAGCGUUGCUCGGAAUUACUGGGCGUAAAGCGCACGUAGGCGGCUUCUUAAGUCGGUGGUGAAAUCCUGGAGCUCAACUCCAGAACUGCCUUCGAUACUGGGAGCUCGAGUCCGGGAGAGGUGAGUGGAACUGCGAGUGUAGAGGUGAAAUUCGUAGAUAUUCGCAAGAACACCAGUGGCGAAGGCGGCUCACUGGCCCGGUACUGACGCUGAGGUGCGAAAGCGUGGGGAGCAAACAG
rnacentral:rRNA from 1 species